rnacentral:lncRNA from 12 species
CUCAUUGCAGUGCAUUCUGGGAUUGCUUUACUCAUGAAGGACACCAGAUUCUGGCCAAAACAAGUAUAUGGUCCACGUCUCACUGAAGUCCAUGGAUCAUUACACAAAGUAAUGGCUAUGUCAACAUGAGGCUAAAUCUUCAUGUCUUGUGAGAGUGUCUCUAGAUUUGUGAGUUUGACAGAUGGGGCAGUGGGAAAAUCCGCUUAGCAACUUUCUGCUGAUGGAGGUUCAUUGAGUAAAGCUCCACACUUUCUCAUUAAAUCACCGCAGUGAGGCCUCGCGUGCUUCUUUUCAACUUUAACGGAUACAGUUUCAAGAUAAAGGACAUGUCUGCCGAAAAGAAUAUUGCAGAAGCCCAAAAAGAAGAAGCCCGAGUCGACUCCAGCAGAGACCAACGGGAUCGAAGCCAAAUCCAAAAAGACCAAGAGCAAGAAGAGCGACGAUCUGUCGGCCGAGAGCGACCUGGUCACUCAGAGUACGGCAGAGAGCUCAUGUCCUGAUGUUACAUCACAGCGCUUCUGUCAGUCUGUUUACACAACUCUCACAAACCUCCCUCACAGAUGGAGAGAAGGUGAAGAAGAAGAAACUGGAGAAGGACAAAGAAUCAACAGAAAAGGAGAAGGAAAUCAAAAAGAAAGCGAAAAGCGCUCCAAAGAAGAAGAAGAGUAAGUGACCCAGUGUUUUUUUAGUGUCAUUUGAUUUGUGACCCUGAAGCACAAAAGCAGUCUUAAGUCUCUGGGGUAUUUAUAUUUGUAGCAAUAGCCAAAAAAUAUUGUAUGGGUCAAAAUUGUAGAUUUUUCUUUCAUGCCAAAAAUCAGUAAAGUAAAGAUCAUGUUCCAUGAAGAUAUUUUGUAAAUUUCCUACCGUAAAUACAUCAAAACUUAAUUUUUGAUUAGUAAUAUACAUUGCUAAGAACAACUUUAUUCGGACAACUUUAAAGGCGAUUUUCUCAUUAUUUACAUUUUCAAAUAGUUGUAUUUCGGCCAAAUAUUGUCCGAUCCUAUCAAACCAUACAUCAAUGGAAAGAUGAUUUACUCAGCUUUCAGAUAAUGUAUAAAUCUCUCUUUUUUUUUUUUUUAAUUNAAUUUGAUGAGAAAUGUUUGAGAUCUUUACAUUUUAAUUGGAGAUUUUUUUUAAUAUUUUGAGCUCUGUUUGAAUCAUUAGUGAGAUCUUUUCAAAACCUCUAGAGAACUGAAGGGACAUAACUGAAGUCCUUUUCUAAUGAGAAAAAGUCUCAGUUUGCUCUUCAUUUCGUCUUGUGGCUGUUUGAAAGAGAAACAACUGUGAUACUAAAGACGUGACAUUUGACAAGCAAACUGAACCAGAUUUUCUGGACCUGAGCACUUAAAUGUGUUUAUUACAAAACAGGUUCUACAGAAGAUGAUGAUGAAGAGGAUGAUGAAGAGACCGCUCCACAGAAGAAGACGAAGAAAAAAACUUCAAAAGAAAGUUCUGAUGGAAAGGAAAAAGAUAAGAAGUCCAAAUCAAAAGGUGUCCUCUGUUCAAAGGAACUUUAAACUACGAAACACUUUAAACUUUCUAUUCUGAGAUAUAAUGUUAGUUUAGUUAGUUUCAACAAUACCUGCUAACUUGACUUAUUUAUGCUUGCUUUAUGUAAACAUUAAGAUGUCAAAGAGGACGCAGACAGUAAAGGAAAAUCUAAAGCCA